CAGCCGCCGCGGUAAUACGUAGGUGGCAAGCGUUGUCCGGAAUUAUUGGGCGUAAAGGGCUCGCAGGCGGUUUCUUAAGUCUGAUGUGAAAGCCCCCGGCUCAACCGGGGAGGGUCAUUGGAAACUGGGAAACUUGAGUGCAGAAGAGGAGAGUGGAAUUCCACGUGUAGCAGUGAAAUGCGUGGAGAUGUGGAGGAACACCAGUGGCGAAGGCGACUCUCUGGUCUGUAACUGACGCUGAGGAGCGAAAGCGUGGGGAGCGAACAGGAUUAGAUACCCGUGUAGUCCCUGUCUCUUAUAC
rnacentral:rRNA from 1 species